UCCCAGACACAGGCCGCUCGCCCUCACGAUGGAGGUGGAAAACUGGAUGGGGCGAUGCCUCAUCCUCGGAAAGGCCGGGCUGGAGUUCUUCAAUAGAGUCGGCAAGGGUGUGGAGAUGGAGGAGGCCGUGCCGUCGUGGGCGGCGAUGUCCAUAGGCUGCUCGAGAGUCGAGACCCUCACCUGGCCGUGUCGUCCUCCAUGGGAUCCGUGGACGCCGCGAUGUCUCCUCCCGCCUAUUCCUCCGCUGUUCCAUGGCCGCCGCCUCCAUACGCCUCAAGCUCUGCGAUGGGACUAGAGCCAGGGUCGUGGGCGACAACGAUGUUGCGUCCAUCCCCGCUACUCCCCCUAUGAGUUAUGAUGGAGGUACCAGAUGCAUAUCAUUGAUGUUGAUCAUUCGUUGGUGACCUCCAAUGCCUGGUUGUAAGAGAGUUCCUCCUUGAAAAACGCACCAUAUCAUAGGCAUAAAGUCCAGUCCAAACACGCAAAUGGUGAAGCCUGAUCGUUAAUA